GACGAACGCUGGCGGCGUGCUUAACACAUGCAAGUCGAACGGAAAGGCCCUGCUUUUGUGGGGUGCUCGAGUGGCGAACGGGUGAGUAACACGUGAGUAACCUGCCCUUGACUUUGGGAUAACUUCAGGAAACUGGGGCUAAUACCGGAUAGGAGCUCCUGCUGCAUGGUGGGGGUUGGAAAGUUUCGGCGGUUGGGGAUGGACUCGCGGCUUAUCAGCUUGUUGGUGGGGUAGUGGCUUACCAAGGCUUUGACGGGUAGCCGGCCUGAGAGGGUGACCGGCCACAUUGGGACUGACAUACGGCCCAGACUCCUACGGGAGGCAGCAGUGGGGAAUAUUGCACAAUGGACGGAAGCCUGAUGCAGCAACGCCGCGUGCGGGAUGACGGCCUUCGGGUUGUAAACCGCUUUCGCCUGUGACGAAGCGUGAGUGACGGUAAUGGGUAAAGAAGCACCGGCUAACUACGUG
rnacentral:rRNA from 1 species